AAGUUAAUAACCACCCAGAGAUGCUGCUUCGUCCUUAACACACGGACCUGACUAUAGUGUCAGCCACAGGAAGUCUCUGCUCAGAGUCCUCCGCUGCAGUCCUAGCUCCCUGUUGGGUCACUGCAUCUUUCCUGCAUGACUCCAUCUGCUCCAACAAGACCAGGGCGUUGACAGUGUCCCUGCGAUUCUCCGACAACCCCUCCAGCAGGGCCACAUCCAGGAGGCAGGAAGUGGUACCUUCAGACAUUUGCCCUCAGAGCAGACAUUUGGAAGCUGCUUUGGAUUUCUUCAUGUUCCUCACCUUCCCAGUCAGCUGGCCACAACAGCUGUGCCGUGCAGAAGGCCAAGAGACUGGGGUUUCAAUUUCUGUCUGCCUUCUCCUGGUUGGAUAAGCGGGAAAGUUGGCCAAAUGAAAGAAGCUUUGGAAACUUCGGAUAAAAUCCACAGCCAUUCAUAAUAUUCCGAGGCAAACAUGCAUUAUUGAGUAUGCAAAAUAUUGACUAUAAAUGCCAGCUCUGGAUUCAAUUGUAUUUCUAGCAGACAAGAGGCUCACUGUAAAAUACAAUGGAGUGUGACAGGGACACUGGAAGUCGACAGAGCGGAGUAAUGAGCAAAGCCCCCGUGGGCCUGAUCUCUUUACAGAGACAAGGAGGCUAGGCCCAUGCAGAGGGGCCAUUUUAAAAGGGAGCCAUCUGUCUGUCCUGGUAAGUUGGAUGCUUUUGGAAUGGUGAAGUCCACAGAGGACAGAUUGGCUACCCUCCCCUGAAGACUCCCUUGUUCUUAUUGUUUUAAAGACUGUGACCCUGUUGGUUUAGAGACUUCAUAGCAAUUGGGGGAAAAUCAGAUAUGACAACCAGAGAACACUGAGCAGAAAACAUGAAAAUGGGGGCCAAGCAAGCAACAGAAAUGAAAAAAUUGCCUUUGAAGAAAACAAGAAGAAGAUAAGAACACAGCACAUCAAAGCUCAGAGGAGGAAGAGGCAGGAUGAGAGAAGCUGAGACUGGAGGAAGCAGAAUGGACAGGAACGACAGCAAGCAGGAGGACGUCAGAGUGAGCACAGGGACCAACAAGACAAGGGGAGGAAUCGCUGCACAUCAGAGAGGUAAGCGUAGUUCUCGGGCCUCAUCAAAGCUCCUCUUUGCAAUGGAUAGAGAUCACUGAAGAAAACACAACUGGUUUGAAUGAGGAGAACCUGUUGUAGGAUGUCCAGCUCCAUGGAUACAUCUUCAAUACAGCUCCUGCAUAUAAACCUCAAGAAACACUGCAGAACAGGGGCCAGGAAGACUGUAUGAGUGGUCAAAGGGCGUGGGUGUGUCUCCUAGAAAUGACAGAGAAGCUUCCCAUGAUACCUACACAAGACCUGGAUAAAGGAACUCUCACAAGGCCUCAUCUGUAAACUGAGCUACCGGUAACCGAUGACAAUGGCAAGAUGGAAUAUUAGUCCUUUCAGGGAUGGGCCCCCUAAUUGGUUUUCUGAUACUAAUUGAUUAACCCUGAAAUCAUGUACGUACAAGGAACACUAAGUAGUUUAAGCAAGGUUGUAUUUAUAUAUUUAUGUGUAUAUACAUUUAUACAUACAUAUAUAUGUAAUAAUAACAAAGAAAAAGACCAUGAAUUUGAGAGAAAAGGUAAAGAGGGAUGAAGGGAGAAAAAAGUUGGAAAUGGUAUAGCUAUAUUUUAAUUUUACUUUUGAAAUAAAAAGUAAAUCUUUAUAAAAAGAAACUUUUCAAGGA